AACGAACGCUGGCGGCAUGCCUAACACAUGCAAGUCGAACGAGACCUUCGGGUCUAUUGGCGCACGGGUUCGUAACGCGUGGGAACCUGCCCUUAUGUUCGGAAUAACUCCCCGAAAGGGGUGCUAAUACCGGAUAAUGUCUUCGGACCAAAGAUUUAUCGCCUUUGGAUGGGCCCGCGUUGGAUUAGCUAGUUGGUAGGGUAAAAGCCUACCAAGGCGACGAUCCAUAGCUGGUCUGAGAGGAUGAUCAGCCACACUGGGACUGAGACACGGCCCAGACUCCUACGGGAGGCAGCAGUGGGGAAUAGUGGAACAUGGGCGAAAGCCUGAUCCAGCAAUGACGCGUGAGUGAUGAAGGCCUUAGGGUUGUAAAGCUCUUUUACCCGGGAUGAUAAUGACAGUACCGGGAGAAUAAGCUACGGCUAACUACGUG
rnacentral:rRNA from 1 species